UACGUAGGCAGCGAGCGUUGUUCGGAGUUACUGGGCGUAAAGCGUGCGCAGGCGGUUUCUUAAGUCAGAUGUGAAAGCCCCGGGCUUAACCUGGGAACUGCGUUUGAAACUGGGAGACUUGAGUGUGGCAGAGGGGGGUGGAAUUCCACGUGUAGCAGUGAAAUGCGUAGAUAUGUGGAGGAACACCAAUGGCGAAGGCAGCCCCCUGGGCCAAUACUGACGCUCAUGCACGAAAGCGUGGGGAGCAAACAGG
rnacentral:rRNA from 1 species